GAAAUAACAAAUCACUAAAAUUUCAGUAAAAAAUUCCUUGUAGACCACAUUGGUUGUCUUUUAGACAUAUGGUUGACCACGGACAAAUACAGGCCUUCAAGACUUUAUCAACAACCCUUCGGGCCUUCAACUUUUAACCUUCAAGCACAAUUCACAAUUUAAUCCUGCUGCAUUAUCUUGAAUCCAGUCCAAGCCCAAAAUAAUAUAGAGGGAUGUGUUGGGUCGUGUCAUGGCCUAGACGUUAACCCGUAAGCCAAAUCCAACUCCAUGCCCAUAGCAUGAGUGUUACCGCAUCGAUGAAUUCAGGAAGAAUAGGUGGUC
rnacentral:lncRNA from 1 species